rnacentral:rRNA from 1 species
UACGGGGGGAGCAAGCGUUGUUCGGAUUUACUGGGCGUAAAGGGCGCGUAGGCGGCCACCGCAAGUCGACUGUGAAAUCCCCGGGCUUAACCUGGGAACUGCGUUUCUAACUGGCAGGCUUGAGUGUGGCAGAGGGGGGUGGAAUUCCACGUGUAGCAGUGAAAUGCGUAGAGAUGUGGAGGAACACCGAUGGCGAAGGCAGCCCCCUGGGCUAACACUGACGCUCAUGCACGAAAGCGUGGGGAGCAAACAGG